ACUCCGGGAAACCGGAGCUAAUACCGGAUAGUUCCUUGAACCGCAUGGUUCAAGGAUGAAAGACGGUUUCGGCUGUCACUUACAGAUGGACCCGCGGCGCAUUAGCUAGUUGGUGAGGUAACGGCUCACCAAGGCGACGAUGCGUAGCCGACCUGAGAGGGUGAUCGGCCACACUGGGACUGAGACACGGCCCAGACUCCUACGGGAGGCAGCAGUAGGGAAUCUUCCGCAAUGGACGAAAGUCUGACGGAGCAACGCCGCGUGAGUGAUGAAGGUUUUCGGAUCGUAAAGCUCUGUUGUUAGGGAAGAACAAGUGCAAGAGUAACUGCUUGCACCUUGACGGUACCUAACCAGAAAGCCACGGCUAACUACGUGCCAGCAGCCGCGGUAAUACGUAGGUGGCAAGCGUUGUCCGGAAUUAUUGGGCGUAAAGGGCUCGCAGGCGGUUUCUUAAGUCUGAUGUGAAAGCCCCCGGCUCAACCGGGGAGGGUCAUUGGAAACUGGGAAACUUGAGUGCARAAGAGGAGAGUGGAAUUCCACGUGUAGCGGUGAAAUGCGUAGAGAUGUGGAGGAACACCAGUGGCGAAGGCGACUCUCUGGUCUGUAACUGACGCUGAGGAGCGAAAGCGUGGGGAGCGAACAGGAUUAGAUACCCUGGUAGUCCACGCCGUAAACGAUGAGUGCUAAGUGUUAGGGGGUUUCCGCCCCUUAGUGCUGCAGCUAACGCAUUAAGCACUCCGCCUGGGGAGUACGGUCGCAAGACUGAAACUCAAAGGAAUUGACGGGGGCCCGCACAAGCGGUGGAGCAUGUGGUUUAAUUCGAAGCAACGCGAAGAACCUUACCAGGUCUUGACAUCCUCUGACAACCCUAGAGAUAGGGCUUUCCCUUCGGGGACAGAGUGACAGGUGGUGCAUGGUUGUCGUCAGCUCGUGUCGUGAGAUGUUGGGUUAAGUCCCGCAACGAGCGCAACCCUUGAUCUUAGUUGCCAGCAUUCAGUUGGGCACUCUAAGGUGACUGCCGGUGACAAACCGGAGGAAGGUGGGGAUGACGUCAAAUCAUCAUGCCCCUUAUGACCUGGGCUACACACGUGCUACAAUGGACAGAACAAAGGGCUGCGAGACCGCAAGGUUUAGCCAAUCCCACAAAUCUGUUCUCAGUUCGGAUCGCAGUCUGCAACUCGACUGCGUGAAGCGGGAAUCGUUAGUAAUCGCGGAUCAGC
rnacentral:rRNA from 1 species